rnacentral:rRNA from 1 species
CAGCAGCCACGGUAACACGGAGGGUGCAAGCGUUAUCCGGAUUUAUUGGGUUUAAAGGGUCCGUAGGCGGAUCUGUAAGUCAGUGGUGAAAUCUUACAGCUUAACUGUGAAACUGCCAUUGAUACUGCAGGUCUUGAGUAAAUUUGAAGUGGCUGGAAUAAGUAGUGUAGCGGUGAAAUGCAUAGAUAUUACUUAGAACACCAAUUGCGAAGGCAGGUCACUAAGAUUUAACUGACGCUGAUGGACGAAAGCGUGGGGAGCGAACAGGAUUAGAUACCCCCGUAGUCCCUGUCUCUUAUAC